AAGGUUUUAAGUUAAUAAAACUAAUAAUCUUCAAAAUUAUCUAUAAAGAAGUUUCUUUAAGCCUUA
rnacentral:tRNA from 1 species